ensembl:lncRNA
GUUUUUCACUCAAACAAUAUUUAGCACGAAUCUGUUAAUUGUGAAACCAGUUUAGUUUAAUCAGCAUUCCAGAAAUCUCAUUCGUUACAUUAUGUAUGACUGAAAAAUAUGCAUCACUUAAGUUUAUUAAUGUUAAAAAAUCUCAUCACUGUCUAUUUUUUGGACAAUGAAAGCAAUAUAAGCAAUGAAAGAGAAACUUCUGGGCAUUUUCCUCUGGAUGUGAGUAUAUGGUCCAAAACAGCAGUCUAAAAAACAUUUAGCAUUAUUAAGGUGAUUCACAUGACUUUGAACGAUGGAUAAUUUCACUGGUAACAGUUCUCACAGGUUUAGUGGGGAGAAAACGAGUAUAAAACUGUUGUUUUCUCUGUCCCUCAGGCCUGUAACAAUCCCAUCUUCAUCUGGCUCCUCUCUUUCUCUUCAGGCCGAUGGCAGGUUGCACUGUUUUGGAGGUCGUCCAGAAAUGAAAUGCAGAUUUGAGUCUCUUCUCCUCCCUUGCGCGGUCGCUCCCGCCCCAAGCGUGACAGCGGCACUUCAUUUCAACAAAUGCAUUUUUUCUGAGACUGUUUAAGGAAUAAGAUGAAUUUCUACAGAUGCCAGAUCUCCGUGUCGAUAUUCUACACCUUCUGCUUGUCCUCAUUAAGAGAGAGAUGCAUGACGGGAACUUCUGUCGGAUCUGUUUACAUGCAAAGAAGUUUUUGUACAGUAACUUUCUCACUCUGUGAACAACUUCUAACUUUGGACAGGACCGCUGAUGCAGAAUGAGUGAUGAAUGCGUUUGAGCAUAUGUUUUUGUAAUUAGUGCUUUAGAUUCAGAGUUAUUGAGGAUUACCGAGUGAACCCAAAUUAUCCCUCCUUUCAAAGACUUGUGAUUUGCUUUUAGGCUUAUACUUUUAUAUGAUGUUACAGUUAAAGCAUGUAAUAGUUUGACAUACUGUAAAAAAUAUUUUUGAAGUUGUGAAUUGGAGAAUGUUUUACAAGAAAAUAGUUUCUCCUUGAAAAUUGCAUGUUUGCCCUGCUGUUUUAUUGUAAUUGUUUGUGGAAAUUCACUGGAAAUUUUUGAGUAUGAACUGUGCCAAUUUUUUUUUUCUUUUUUUUUCAGGGUCAAAAUUAUUGACUUUUCUUUUAUGCGAAAAAUCAUUAGGAUAUUAAGAAAAAGUUCAUGUUCCAUGUAGAUAUUUUGUAAAUUUCUUACCAUAAAUAUAUCAAAACUUAAUUUUUGAUUAGUAAUAUGCAUUGCUAAGAAUUUCAUUUGGCUAACUAUUAAGGCGAGUUUUUU